rnacentral:rRNA from 1 species
GAUGAACGCUGGCGGCGUGCCUAAUACAUGCAAGUCGAGCGAACAGAUAAGGAGCUUGCUCCUUUGACGUUAGCGGCGGACGGGUGAGUAACACGUGGGUAACCUACCUAUAAGACUGGGAUAACUUCGGGAAACCGGAGCUAAUACCAGAUAACAUUUGGAACCGCAUGGUUCUAAAGUGAAAGAUGGUUUUGCUAUCACUUAUAGAUGGACCCGCGCCGUAUUAGCUAGUUGGUAAGGUAACGGCUUACCAAGGCGACGAUACGUAGCCGACCUGAGAGGGUGAUCGGCCACACUGGAACUGAGACACGGUCCAGACUCCUACGGGAGGCAGCAGUAGGGAAUCUUCCGCAAAGGGCGAAAGCCUGACGGAGCAACGCCGCGUGAGUGAUGAAGGGUUUCGGCUCGUAAAACUCUGUUAUUAGGGAAGAACAAAUGUGUAAGUAACUGUGCACGUCUUGACGGUACCUAAUCAGAAAGCCACGGCUAACUACGUG